rnacentral:rRNA from 1 species
UCGGCAAUGGACGAAGGUCUGACCGAGCAACGCCGCGUGAGUGAAGAAGGUUUUCGGAUCGUAAAGCUCUGUUGCAAGUCAAGAACGUGUGUGAGAGUGGAAAGUUCACACAGUGACGGUAGCUUACCAGAAAGGGACGGCUAACUACGUGCCAGCAGCCGCGGUAAUACGUAGGUCCCGAGCGUUGUCCGGAUUUAUUGGGCGUAAAGGGAGCGCAGGCGGUCAGGAAAGUCUGGAGUAAAAGGCCAUGGCUCAACCAUAGUGUGCUCUGGAAACUGUCUGACUUGAGUGCAGAAGGGGAGAGUGGAAUUCCAUGUGUAGCGGUGAAAUGCGUAGAUAUAUGGAGGAACACCAGUGGCGAAAGCGGCUCUCUGGUCUGUCACUGACGCUGAGGCUCGAAAGCGUGGGUAGCGAACAGGAUUAGAUACCCUGGUAGUCCACGCCGUAAACGAUGAGUGCUAGGUGUUAGGCCCUUUCCGGGGCUUAGUGCCGGAGCUAACGCAAUAAGCACUCCGCCUGGGGAGUACGACCGCAAGGUUGAAACUCAAAGGAAUUGACGGGGGCCCGCACAAGCG